rnacentral:rRNA from 1 species
UACGUAGGGUGCGAGCGUUGUCCGGAAUUAUUGGGCGUAAAGAGCUUGUAGGUGGCUCGUUGCGUCGGGAGUGAAAACCUGCGGCUUAACCGCAGGCCUGCUUCCGAUACGGGCGAGCUAGAGUUCGGCAGGGGAGACUGGAAUUCCUGGUGUAGCGGUGGAAUGCGCAGAUAUCAGGAGGAACACCGGUGGCGAAGGCGGGUCUCUGGGCCGAUACUGGCACUGAGAAGCGAAAGCGUGGGGAGCGAACAGG